rnacentral:rRNA from 1 species
CGUAGGUGACCAGCGUUGUCCGGAUUUACUGGGCGUAAAGAGCGCGCAGGCGGUCGUUCAAGUCGAGUGUGAAAGCCCCCGGCUCAACUGGGGAGGGUCACUCGAUACUGAUCGACUUGAAGGCAGGAGAGGGAAGCGGAAUUCCCGGUGUAGUGGUGAAAUGCGUAGAUAUCGGGAGGAACACCAGUGGCGAAGGCGGCUUCCUGGCCUGUUCUUGACGCUGAGGCGCGAAAGCUGGGGGAGCAAACGGGAUUAGAUACCCCGGUAGUCCUAGCCGUAAACGAUGGACACUAGGUGUUGGUGGUAUCAACCCCACCAGUGCCGAAGCUAACGCAUUAAGUGUCCCGCCUGGGGAGUACGGCCGCAAGGCUA